CCUACGGGAGGCAGCAGUGAGGAAUAUUGGUCAAUGGCCGGAAGGCUGAACCAGCCAUGCCGCGUGAAGGUCAGUGCCCUAUGGGCGUUAAACUUCUUUUGUGCGGGAGCAAUAAUGGUCACGUGUGGCCAGACGAGAGUACCGUACGAAUAAGCAUCGGCUAACUCCGUGCCAGCAGCCGCGGUAAUACGGGGGAUGCAAGCGUUAUCCGGAUUUAUUGGGUUUAAAGGGUGCGUAGGCUGUGAGGUAAGUCAGCGGUGAAAUGCCCCCGCUCAACGGGGUGAAGUGCCAUUGAUACUGCCUGGCUGGAAUGCGGAUGCGGUAGGAGGAAUGUGUGGUGUAGCGGUGAAAUGCAUAGAUAUCACGCAGAACACCGAUUGCGAAGGCAUCUCACGAAUCCGCGAUUGACGCUGAUGCACGAAAGCGUGGGUAUCAAACAGGAUUAGAUACCCGGGUAGUC
rnacentral:rRNA from 1 species